UUGUGUUGUAACAGAAACAG
rnacentral:tRNA from 1 species